AGAGUUUGAUCCUUCCUCAGAUUGAACGCUGGCGGCAGGCCUAACACAUGCAAGUCGAGCGGUAGAGAGGUGCUUGCACCUCUUGAGAGCGGCGGACGGGUGAGUAAAGCCUAGGAAUCUGCCUGGUAGUGGGGGAUAACGCUCGGAAACGGACGCUAAUACCGCAUACGUCCUACGGGAGAAAGCAGGGGACCUUCGGGCCUUGCGCUAUCAGAUGAGCCUAGGUCGGAUUAGCUAGUUGGUGAGGUAAUGGCUCACCAAGGCGACGAUCCGUAACUGGUCUGAGAGGAUGAUCAGUCACACUGGAACUGAGACACGGUCCAGACUCCUACGGGAGGCAGCAGUGGGGAAUAUUGGACAAUGGGCGAAAGCCUGAUCCAGCCAUGCCGCGUGUGUGAAGAAGGUCUUCGGAUUGUAAAGCACUUUAAGUUGGGAGGAAGGGCAUUAACCUAAUACGUUAGUGUUUUGACGUUACCGACAGAAUAAGCACCGGCUAACUCUGUGCCAGCAGCCGCGGUAAUACAGAGGGUGCAAGCGUUAAUCGGAAUUACUGGGCGUAAAGCGCGCGUAGGUGGUUCGUUAAGUUGGAUGUGAAAUCCCCGGGCUCAACCUGGGAACUGCAUUCAAAACUGUCGAGCUAGAGUAUGGUAGAGGGUGGUGGAAUUUCCUGUGUAGCGGUGAAAUGCGUAGAUAUAGGAAGGAACACCAGUGGCGAANGCGACCACCUGGACUGAUACUGACACUGAGGUGCGAAAGCGU
rnacentral:rRNA from 1 species